rnacentral:lncRNA from 1 species
CCUUUCAUGUUAUUCCUGGAGAACUAGCAAGCGUUCAGCGUGAAAUUCCCCCCCCCUUCUGAAGAGCCAUCCUCUGAGCACAAAGGUGAUGCUCGUUGUGCGGACCUCCAGCCGUUCUUCACUGCGAGCGGCAUGCAGUGAGUGUUGGGGCUGCCGGACAGCAGCAUCAGCGCGGCUGGGAAGGCUGGAAGAGAACGGGAACACAUUCGAGACAGAGAGAAAUGGCACAGUUUUUGGCUGCUCUGUCCUUAAUGUUUAGAUGAUGAAGUUUUCCUUCUCUGGUCCUUAAAUGAAGAUCACGUUGCAGAGCUCAAAGAGAAGUGGUAUUGAAUUAUGGCACUACAGGGCAGCCUGUAGCACGAGUACGCCCUCUCCUUCAGUAAGAACAGAAGAACAACGAAAAGAGGGGAAAAGAAAGGGAAGAUGCAAUAAGACACACUUUCAUGUACUUGUUUUUAAGAAUCACAGAAUACGUUCCUUCCAUCUUCUGCAAAGUCAAGGAGCAUUUCAAAAGCAUCCACACAGCCACACGCCUGGGAAUAUUGAGGCUCAUACCUCUCCUCCAUUGAUCUCUAAUUCUGCCAUUAUCCAACGAAAAAUACCAAUAGCAAUAAAACAGAGAACGAGAUGUGCCACAGACAGUCUUCAAACGGAUGGCUUGGCGAGUGAGAGGAGGAAAUGAAGC